rnacentral:lncRNA from 1 species
GCGGUGAAGGGACGCGGCGCUUUGCUAGGCAAGGAGGCAGCAAAGCCACAUGUCGAUUUGGUAGUCAGUGACGGGACACUGCACUUUGCUGGGAGGCAAGGCGGCGAAGGCACGCAGUGCUUUGCUAGGCAGCAAGGGGAAAAGGGACGCAGCAGUGUGCUAGGCGGCGAGGCGGCAAAGGGACACGGUGCUUUGCUAGGCAGCGAAGCGGCGAAGGUACGUGCUGCUCUGCUAGGCGGCGAGGGUCACAGCGGUGUGCUAGUCGGCGAGGCGGUGAAGGGACACGGCGCUUUGCUAGGCGGCGAGGCAGCGAAGGGACGCAGCGGUGUGCAAGGGGGAAAGGCAAGCAGUGCUUUGGCAGGUGGCGAAGGCACGCAGCGCUUUGCUAGGCUGCCAUGCGGUGAGGCACCAACACGCCGAAGGAUGCAGCCGUUUGCCAGGUGGCGAAGGAAGGAGGGUCGCAGCACUUUGCUAGGCGGUGAGGCGCGAGGGGACAAAGUGAUUUGAGAGGUGGCGAGGGGGAAAAGGGACGCAGUGGUUUGCUAGGCGGUGUGGCGCCGAGGCGCUGAGCUGACACAGCGCUUUGCUAGGCGGCGAAGGGAUACAGCGGUGUGCUAGUCGGCAGGUGGUGAAGGGACACGGCGCUUUGCUAGGUGUCGAGGUGGCGAAGGGACACAGCGGUGUGCGAGGCGGUGAAGGCAUGCAGUGCUUGGCCAGGUGGCAAAGGCACGCAGCGCGUUUCUAGGCUGCGAUGCGGCGAGGUGCCGAAGCACCGAAGGAUGCAGCCGUUUGCCAGGCGGCGAGGGGGGGGAGGGACGCAGUGCUUUGCUAGGCGGUGAGGCGCAAGGGGACAAAUCGAUCUGAGAGGUGGUGAGGGGGAAAAGGGAUGCAGCGGUGUGCUAGGCGGUGAGGCGGCGAAGGGACGCAGUGCUUUGCCAGGCGGCGAAGGGACACAAUGCUUAUCUAGGUGGUGAAGGGACGCGGCGCUUUGUGAGGCUGCGAGGCGGUGAAGGGAUGCAGCAGUGUGCUAGUCGGCGAGGGGGAAAAAGACGCAGCGGUGUGCUAGGUGGCUCUGCAGUUUGCUUUAGCAUGCUGAAGCAAACAGACAGAGCGGUUUGGUUCUUCACGAGGGAGCAAAGAGACAAGGCGGUUGGUUAGUUUGCGAGGCAUCCAAGAGAUGCAGCAGUGUGCUUGUUUGCAAGGCGAAGAAGAAAAGCAGCGCGUAGUUAGUCAGCUAUGUGGCGAAGAGACGCAACAGUUUGCUUGUUUGCGAUGCAGUGAACAGAUGCAGCGGUUUGCUUGUUCACCAGGCAGCAAACAGACACAGUGGUUUUUAUGCUCACUAGACGGUGAACAGAUACAGUGGUUUCCUUGUUCAUGAAGCAGCGAACAUAUACAGCGGUUUGCUUGCUGGCGAGGCAGCGAAGAGACGCAGCGCUUUGCUUCUUGGCGAGGGAGCAAAGGGACAAGGCGGUUGGUUAGUUUGCGAGGCAUCCAAGAGAUGCAG